rnacentral:tRNA from 1 species
UUGACACUAGCUCAGUUGGUAGAGCGCACCCCUGCCAAGGUUGAGGUCACGAGUUCGAACCUCGUGUGUCGAUCCA